UACGGGGGGGGGCAAGCGUUGUCCGGAAUUACUGGGCGUAAAGAGCUCGUAGGUGGUUUGUCGCGUUGUUCGUGAAAACUCACAGCUCAACUGUGGGCGUGCGGGCGAUACGGGCAGACUAGAGUACUGCAGGGGAGACUGGAAUUCCUGGUGUAGCGGUGGAAUGCGCAGAUAUCAGGAGGAACACCAGUGGCGAAGGCGGCUUACUGGUCCGGCUCU
rnacentral:rRNA from 1 species